AGCUGUUUUGUCUCCAUGGUAAUGGUGCUGCUAUUUUCAAUGCAGGCGAGAUUCCAGUGGCACCCUCCCAGGGUGUAAUUCUAUUGCAGGCCAGGAGCAAGCGGCUGCGAAGCGAAACAUAAACAAGAGCCAGGGCUGCGGUUUGCAGCACGGUGCGCUCUUCCACCAUGGAUCAGUUCUGACACAGAAGGAAGAGUGCCGCCUAUUGAAUCACCAACACAGCUUCCUGCAGCAGCCUGGGUUUUCUUGAGUGGCCCCUGCCUGAUCCAUCUACUGGCGAAGCUUAGCCUAGCUCUACUUAGCUUGGGUGAGGAGACAGGCCCACAGAUAGAGGUGUUACUACUGCGGGGCCAUCUCCCUUUGAUAAGCAUUUAUACUUCCUUCCUACAGUUA